ensembl:lncRNA
AUCGAACGUUUGCCCUUUCCCUUGCAGUACUCAGGUUCCUGCUCUCACAGUCCGUCCCAGCUCUCAGCGAGGGCUCCGGACUUCCAUCUGUGCCCUCAAGCCUGGGUCCAAUCAGGUGUUUGGUACCUCCGCUGGGGCUCACUGCUGACUCCAUUCACCUUCCUGUGAACAUGUGUGAACAAGCCCUGCAGGUCGAUCCCAGCAAGCUGUUCACCAGCUGUGAAGGUGUGUGCCCGGCACCCUGGGACCCAGCCUUAUUCUCCAGGCCUUGCCUUCUCUUGGUGUCCCUGGUCCUGGGCCCGGCCCAGACGCCUGAUGGAAAAUCCUGUUACCUCCGCUGCUUCCUUCUUGCUGCCCACUGAGGAAAUAGAAAGGGAACUAACAGCUGUGUGUCUCUUCCAUGUUUUGAGAGUUUGCUAAAAGGAAUAUUGCUGAUGAGGCAGUAGUGGUAAAGAACCUGCCUGCCAACGCAGGAAACGUAAGAGAUGUGGGUUCGAUCCCUGGGUUGGGAAGAUCCCUGGAAGGUGGGCAUGGCAACCCAUUCCAGUAUUCUUGCCUGGAGAAUCCCAUGGACAGAGGAGCCUGGCAGGCUACAGUCCCUAGGGUUGCAAUGAGUCAGACACAACU